rnacentral:lncRNA from 1 species
CACUUAUCAAGAUUUGUAUAACCUUGAUAAAUUUGCACAAAUAUGAGGCCCAAAUGAUGAAGCAACCGUUUAUGAAGAGAAGAAGACUCAUCCAAGAAGACCUGGGUUCUCUUUGUUCUUCCAUUAGAAGAGACUCAGAUCAAAAGAAGCUAAACAUUUCUCACGAUUGGAAAAUAAUAUACUGUGAACGUUCGAAGACAAAAGUCCUGAUUCUCCCUCAAUCUGGAUCUACAUUGAAUACAAGAGAGCUGAGAGGGAUGGCAGAAGGUGUCCUGAGGAACAGCAAUGAAAAGACUAUUUUGAAUCCGUAUCUGAGUAUAAAAGAACAUGAAAGAUAAUGGGUUAACAAAACAAUCCAUCUGUCUUUCUAAGUAUUUAUGUAUGUAAAGAGAUACGGAGUAUUUAAUAUAAACAUACUCUAGA